AUGUACACUCUCCAUGUUUUCUCAUCUGACAAGGCAAGCUGGAGCGUGCGGAGCAACUGCUUCAACACAAAUGCGCAAUCGCAUCGGUAUGGGUCAUUUAGCGAUGCCAUUGUGUGCCGCGGCGUGGCACAUUGGGUGUUUUAUUAUUACGAAUGCUUUCACAUCAUUAAUAUGAACGGAAGGACUGGCCACAUCUCCUGGACGAAGCUCCAUUCUGGAGCAGGCUUCCACUACUUGAGUCAACCAUGCCUUACUCUAGCCGUCAAUGGGACGCUAUCAUUGCUCUGGAUGCGAAAGAGAGAUUCCCGACUAGAGAUAUGGGAACAACACGAGGACCAUGCAAACAUGGGAGUGCUUCAAAGUGGUUACCUAGUCGGACAAUCAAGCUAA
rnacentral:rRNA from 1 species